GGCUAACGCUGGCGGCGUGUCUUAGCCAUGCAAGUCGAGCGGACUUAUGGGGUAACUUAUAAGUCAGCGGCGGACGGCGGAGUAACACGUAGCUAACCUACCCUCUGGACGGGGGAUAACCUACCGAAAGGUGGGCUAAUACCCGAUGUAGUCAUCCUGUAUAGGGGUGAUGAAAGGUGGGCUUCUGUUUACAAGCUCAUGCUGGAGGAGGGGGCUGCGGCCUAUCAGGUAGUUGGUAGGGUAAUAGCCUACCAAGCCGAUGACGGGUAGCCGGCCUGAGAGGGUGACCGGCCCGAGGGGCACUGAGAGACGGGCCCUACUCCUACGGGAGGCAGCAGUGGGGAAUAUUGCGCAAUGGGCGAAAGCCUGACGCAGCGACGCCGCGUGAAGGAAGACGGCCUUCGGGUUGUAAACUUCUUUUAUCUAGGGAAGAAGGAUGUGACGGUACCUGAUGAAUAAGCCCCGGCUAACUACGUGCCAGCAGCCGCGGUAAAAUAGACGUACU
rnacentral:rRNA from 1 species